GUUCCCGUGGUGCAGCCGGUUAGCACUUUUGUCUUAUAAGCAGACGGUCGCGGGUUCGAGCCCCGCCGGGAACA
rfam:Trichomonas vaginalis G3, whole genome shotgun sequence.